UGCUCUUUUCAACGCCAGCAUUGAAAACACAUGAUGUACUGCCUUAUGUCAGUGCUGCAGCGCAGCUUUUGUGCCACCUCCUUCGAGAGAUGGCGCCACGCUGUGUGACCAGGCCAGCAGUGUCCAGCGCGCCACGGAUGGUUGUUUCUGCCUGUAGGUUUGUGGCACACUUCAAUGAACGUCCUUGACACCACCUUUUGAAUAUAGUGGAAUCAAACCCGUCACAAGGGUUCCUCAAGGACAGCAACCCGAUGAAUUAGCAGGCAGCGCAACAAACGCACUGGGUGUUGAAUAAAUACCAAAAAUGAGAACACUUCAAGAUAGAGCCCAUUGUUUGGUGUGAAUGCACACUGGGCCAAAUUGCUUAACAAGUAUUUACCCAACAAAUGGGACAAUUGCUAGUAAAAAGCAUGUCCAACACAGCAAAAUGAAUGAGGAAUACUCGCUACGAGCCAACCAAGCACAAUGGAGGCACUACAGCUCAAGACAUAGCAACUUGAACAAUGGGCUCUCAAGACAACGGCUCGUCAAACAAAGGCGCCCACUCAGCUGUGACACACCUCGAGUCUCGCGUCAGCGAGCAGGAUAGCCUGCUGCAAGAUAGCGUGCCGAAAACAGACAGGACGGGCAGCUGGGGCAAAGCCAGGAUGGCCCACUUGGAGAAGGAGACACACUGGACGGCUGUGUUCAUGCGCCAGAUGGAGAGCUCCAGGGAGCCGUCGUCCACCCGCUCGGCCACCACACUGAUCAACGGGGGCCA